CACUCCUGCGGGAGGCAGCAGUGAGGAAUAUUGGACAAUGGGUGGAAGCCUGAUCCAGCCAUCCCGCGUGCAGGAAGACGGCCCUAUGGGUUGUAAACUGCUUUUAUCUGGGGAUAAACCUACUUACGUGUAAGUAGCUGAAGGUACCAGAAGAAUAAGCACCGGCUAACUCCGUGCCAGCAGCCGCGGUAAUACGGAGGGUGCAAGCGUUAUCCGGAUUUAUUGGGUUUAAAGGGUCCGUAGGCGGACUGAUAAGUCAGUGGUGAAAUCCGACAGCUUAACUGUCGAACUGCCAUUGAUACUGUUAGUCUUGAGUAAGGUUGAAGUGGCUGGAAUAAGUAGUGUAGCGGUGAAAUGCAUAGAUAUUACUUAGAACACCAAUUGCGAAGGCAGGUCACUAAGUCUUAACUGACGCUGAUGGACGAAAGCGUGGGGAGCGAACAGGAUUAGAAACCCCUGUAGUCCCAUGA
rnacentral:rRNA from 1 species